GCGGCCUAUACAUGCAGUCGAACGCUUUGUGGUUCAACUGAUUUGAAGAGCUUGCUCAGAUAUGACGAUGGACAUUGCAAAGAGUGGCGAACGGGUGAGUAACACGUGGGAAACCUACCUCUUAGCAGGGGAUAACAUUUGGAAACAGAUGCUAAUACCGUAUAACAAUGACAACCGCAUGGUUGUUAUUUAAAAGAUGGUUCUGCUAUCACUAAGAGAUGGUCCCGCGGUGCAUUAGCUAGUUGGUAAGGUAAUGGCUUACCAAGGCGAUGAUGCAUAGCCGAGUUGAGAGACUGAUCGGCCACAAUGGGACUGAGACACGGCCCAUACUCCUACGGGAGGCAGCAGUAGGGAAUCUUCCACAAUGGGCGAAAGCCUGAUGGAGCAACGCCGCGUGUGUGAUGAAGGGUUUCGGCUCGUAAAACACUGUUGUAAGAGAAGAAUGACAUUGAGAGUAACUGUUCAAUGUGUGACGGUAUCUUACCAGAAAGGAACGGCUAAAUACGUGCCAGCAGCCGCGGUAAUACGUAUGUUCCAAGCGUUAUCCGGAUUUAUUGGGCGUAAAGCGAGCGCAGACGGUUAUUUAAGUCUGAAGUGAAAGCCCUCAGCUCAACUAGGAAUUGCUUUGGAAACUGGAUGACUUGAGUGCAGUAGAGGAAAGUGGAACUCCAUGUGUAGCGGUGAAAUGCGUAGAUAUAUGGAAGAACACCAGUGGCGAAGGCGGCUUUCUGGGACUGUAACUGACGUUGAGGCUCGAAAGUGUGGGUAGCAAACAGGAUUAGAUACCCUGGUAGUCCACACCGUAAACGAUGAGUGCUAGGUGUUUGAGGGUUUCCGCCCUUAAUUGCCGC
rnacentral:rRNA from 1 species